CUGACGGAGCACGCCGCGUGAGUGAUGAAGGUUUUCGGAUCGUAAAGCUCUGUUGUUAGGGAAGAACAAGUGCAAGAGUAACUGCUUGCACCUUGACGGUACCUAACCAGAAAGCCACGGCUAACUACGUGCCAGCAGCCGCGGUAAUACGUAGGUGGCAAGCGUUGUCCGGAAUUAUUGGGCGUAAAGGGCUCGCAGGCGGUUUCUUAAGUCUGAUGUGAAAGCCCCCGGCUCAACCGGGGAGGGUCAUUGGAAACUGGGAAACUUGAGUGCAGAAGAGGAGAGUGGAAUUCCACGUGUAGCGGUGAAAUGCGUAGAGAUGUGGAGGAACACCAGUGGCGAAGGCGACUCUCUGGUCUGUAACUGACGCUGAGGAGCGAAAGCGUGGGGAGCGAACAGGAUUAGAUACCCUGGUAGUCCACGCCGUAAACGAUGAGUGCUAAGUGUUAGGGGGUUUCCGCCCCUUAGUGCUGCAGCUAACGCAUUAAGCACUCCGCCUGGGGAGUACGGUCGCAAGACUGAAACUCAAAGGAAUUGACGGGGGCCCGCACAAGCGGUGGAGCAUGUGGUUUAAUUCGAAGCAACGCGAAGAACCUUACCAGGUCUUGACAUCCUCUGACAACCCUAGAGAUAGGGCUUUCCCUUCGGGGACAGAGUGACAGGUGGUGCAUGGUUGUCGUCAGCUCGUGUCGUGAGAUGUUGGGUUAAGUCCCGCAACGAGCGCAACCCUUGAUCUUAGUUGCCAGCAUUCAGUUGGGCACUCUAAGGUGACUGCCGGUGACAAACCGGAGGAAGGUGGGGAUGACGUC
rnacentral:rRNA from 1 species